rnacentral:lncRNA from 1 species
CCGUAAUUAGAAGAUGGACGGGGUUUACUCCACCACUUCCAGAUAAAUAUGUUAUUUUAUAUAUAUCAAUUGCAUUGAAUACUAGUUAUGGCCUUACGGGAUAGACCUCUCCCACUCACCUUUCAGUAUAAAAUGGGGUCAACCGUUCUCCUUUGUCGUCCCAUACACACUCAUACAUUUUCCCUCUUAUCGCUUCCUCCCCGUCUCAAGAAAGAUGUCUCAGAAAGCAAGUCGCCACCAACGCAAGCCAUCACAAAGCGUCUUCGUCUUUCCGGAUAACCUCGACAAUGUCGUCGACAAGAUUGCUCCUUCAACCAACCAGGUUCUUCCACCUCCGGAGAUCGCUGUCCCUCUUUCGCCGCUGGUGGCUCCGCCGCCGGCGUUGUCUCCGGAGAAAGUCGUCAGAGAUGCAGGCAUCGAGAAAGACAACGAUGUGGCAUCCAAGGAGUAGAGGCGUGCCUUUUCUUUUUAUUUCGUUUCUGUUAGUUUAAGCUUUUUUCUUCUUUGGUUCAUGAAUGUCUCAAGAAUUGAGCAUUUAAGCUUCUUCGUAUCAAAAAGGCAAAAAUUAAAAAACGAAAACUUCAGUGAGAAGAAAAUCGCCUCUCUUCAAAUUUCAUUGAUCAUUUUUUUGGCUUUUUUUUUAAUAAUUAAUUUUUUUUGUGUGACGCAUCCAUUUAAUUGAGCCUUUUGGUUUGAAAUUGCUCAGACCAGGGAUAUUUUGGUAAUUGCCCCAGUUCCCUCAAACAAGCCUUCAGAGAUUGCACCUAAAGUAUACUUACUCAAAGUGAUCGCCGUGUCUUAAUAGUAAUUUAAGCCUUUUUUUUUAAAUUUAAUUGGCCUUCUGAUAAUAGCGAUGAGAAAAGCAAUUUGGACCGGGCCUACAUCCAUAUCGGGCAACUAUCACAGACACAUAAAAAAAGUGAGCCCAUUAUGAUAUAAGUGGGCCCAAUUAUGGAUAAGAAAAGUGGAACGUGUAAGCUGAUGAAGAUGUUUUGAGUCCAAUCCAACUUGGAUUGAAUUGACGUCUUGGCCCAUCUCGCUGGCCCAAAACCCGUGUGGAUUGAAUAAUCCUCCUGCUCCUCCAAAAUCCAGGCUGUGGAGUAAUGAUGAUUACAGAGCAGUCUGCACCCUGUAGACGCAUUCCAUCUCUAUCAAUAUCAUCACUUACCAUAAUAAUUAACGGGGAAGGGGAACUCAGUAAAGCAUGUGGAAAACGAAGUGGGCCUUUGCAUUCCCAUUUCCCAUAGCCCAUCUGCCACCACCAUGAGAUAAAAAAAGAGAAAAGUAAAAAGUCGACUAUACCCUCAUCAUUUUUAGAUAUUUACUUGAUCGAAAGAACCAGUCAAUAAAUACAACAUUGGAUCACCAUUGACGUUUUCACAUUUGUGAAUAUUCUAAUCUAAAUUCGACCGUUUACUCUUUUUCAUGUGCAUAACAUGUGGCGCACCCUUUGAUUUUGACCAAAAGAAAAAAAGAAAAAAAAAGAAAAAAAAAGAAAAAAAAAAAAAAGGAACUUUGCACAAGGAAUAGGUCUGGCCCCCAAUUUUUCUGGGGGGAGAAAUGUGCCUUUUAUUGGUUGUACUGUUUUCAAACUUUAAUGUAAUGGAAUUAUUGGAUACACUCGCGCCUCAAAGAAAUAAAAAAAGAAGGGGGUACAGGGCAUUAAAGGGAAUAGAUUCUAUGUUAUCCAGUUAAUUUAUUGAAAAAAAAAAAUGAAAAAUGUGAGAAAGGGAUGGUAGCGUGGGAUUGACGCAGAGAGAGUAUCCUAGAUGGACCCAUCCCAAGUGUCAUGACAUUCCCAUCUCUUUAUAAAAGUAGUAACAAAAGAGAAAAUAUUAGAAUUAGAAAAUUUUUGAAGGGGAAACAUCCAAAUUUGCCACUAUUGCCCUCGGGGACUCAACCACCAACAAAUAUCUCUACCACUCAACCCUCAACCCUCAACCCGACUUGUCAAAGCCAAGCCAAGCCAAGCCACCGACGUACCAUGUGGCUUAAUCGCUGCUUAAUUCAAAACCAUCCUGUCGCAUUCUUUUACUAUCAACAUCCCCACGCAAGCAAUUGAAAUUAAUGAUUAUAAAUAAUUUUGAAUGAUCCAAAAAUCAAAUAUAAAUAUAAAAUAUUAAAAAGUGUAAAAUUCAAAUAAUUUUAAAAUUAAUAAUAAUAAUAAAUAGUUUUUGUGUUUCCAUUUUUUAAAAAAAAUCCAAAAUUCCAUUAAUUUGAUCUAUUUGAAAAUUAUUUUAAAAACUAUAAAAUAAAAAUUAUUUGGAAUUCUAGGUAUGUUAAAAAAAAAUUAUUUAUACUAAAAAUUUUAUGAAAUUUUAUUAAUUUAGUAUUUUUAUAUUAUUUUGCCUCACUUUUUAUUUUUUAUUUUUUUAUUUGACAUGAUUCAAACUGAGCAUAAAGACCGUUGAGACUUCUGUUAUAAGUUUGUAUUUAUGCUUACUUAACAAUUUUAUUUUCUAAAAAAAAAAAAUAUCUUAGACAAAUUUAGUUAGGUGGCAUUAGAGAGUCAUUCCAAUAUUAAAUCAAGGUAUAAAUUUAUUUUAUCAUCUCAAAUUUACAAAUAUUUUGGAAUGAUUUUUAAAAUAUAAAAUAAAUUUAUACUUUAUUUACAAAAAAGAAAAAGAAAAAAGAAUAUUUAUUUUAUUUUAUUUUCAUUUAUUUUCUGAUUAUCCAGCAAAAUACAAAAAACCUUAACAUGUUUUAUAUGAAAUUAGAAGUUAUUAGAGCAUUUUCCAAUUUGAUCCGAUAAUAAACAAAUAUUUGUAAUUUAGUUUAGGGAACAAACAAAUUUCUAUUUUAACAAAGCGCUGUCGUUUCAACAUCACAAUCUUGUUCAAAUCAUACUGGACCACCAAAGCUGACUCCAGUGAAGCCGACUCGUUAAAGAAAUACUAUUUCGACAGCCCCUCCCUUGCAUCGUCAAAAUCCAUAAACGACGUGUCGUCAUUUCAUUGGUUGAGUACCGUCUCGGACGCUUCGUUUAAGUGCGAUGAGUAUCACCGUAACAAUCCUCCCCCGUGUGGCACCGAAUAAAAAGGCUUCCUCAGCUGAGUCCUCGUCAUCGGAGGGGCUCUCUAUAUUGUCUACAAACGCUAGAUCCUCUCAAGUCUCGGUCCUCGUCGUCGAUCGUACAGCGAAAAUGGUGAGGGGUUCACUUUAUUUUGCUCCAUUUCUGGAUUUCUAGGGUUUUGAUUUCACUCUCCAUUUUUUGAACUUUGUUUGAAUUCGUUUUUGAUCUGCCACCGAUCUAUUAUCUGAUGCUAAUUUUGACUGAAAUUCUAGUGAUGUUUUGUGGAUUUCUACUGAAUCAGUUGUUUGUCUAUGCUUGAUUGGCUAGCAGAUCUGGUUCGGUUUUGAUUUGAUAUCCAUAUCCUUGUGUGUCGGUUAAACUGAUAUGUGCGAUGAUCAAAGAAGAUUGUCCUAUCAAUAUUUUGAGAACAUAGAGAUACGAUCGAUUAUGGAUAAGAAAAUUACAGAUAUCAGUAUCCGAAAAAUUGCAGAAAUCAGUUUUGCAGACGUGAAAAACUUGGAUUAAGAUCUAAGGAAAUAUAUAUAUAGCGUUGUGGAUAUCAUGUAUGUUGAAAUAUCCCAUGAUGAUGAUUUGUUCAUUGAUUCGCACUAUUGUUGUCCAUUGAAUUUUCCUUAAGUUGGUUAGCAUUUUCUUAAUGGCAGUGUUGUGGAUCUGUUGUCUCUAACCAGCCAACUGGCUGUAAUCAGAUAUCCUCCAAUCGUGAUUUAUUUAUUCAUUUAUUCUUGAAAUGUGCAUUUGGAUCUGAUAUUUGUAGUAGAUGCUUUUCAUAGGCAGGCGGAUCUAGUUUCUUUGAGCUGUAAAUAUUUAGGAUUCGUUUGUUUCUCUUGUAGAAUGAGCUAUGAAAAAUUAAAUGCCUAAUAAUAAUUUCAGAAAAAUAAAAUGUGUAUUACUAUUUGUAAGUGUUUUUCUUUUCAUUUCCUUUAGAAAAAGUUGGUUUUAUUGGUUUUUCUGUGCCAAACUUUAGCAUGCAUUUUAAGUUUUUGUUUUUGCCCUUUCUUUGGGGGCUUAGGGGAGGACCGCUUGCAUUCCUCUUUAAGCAUUCCGGGUUGCAAAUCUAAUAGAAUUUCAAGGAUCUAUCCUUUUUGGUUGUCUUUGUUUUGCAUUAAAGUGCAAUGGGAAUAGUUUUGUCUUUUUGGAUACCUUUGGAUACCUUAUUGUAAAGACAGGUGGGAACAGAAGAAACUUUGGAAUCACUCGAUUGAUACUCCAAUACAAGAUAGAGCAAUGAUUUUCUACACCAAAACUUGUGAUGAUAUUAUCAUCAAUUUGCUCUCUGUCCUUUCUUUUUAAAUUUCAAACCAUGUGACCGUUCCUUUUUUCAUGAUCAAAAUGCUUUGGCCACAUUAAUUGAAGGUUCCAUUAAGUUUUCAUUAGAGAUUGGGUGGUUACUGUUUCACCUUAAAUUUAGAGCAUGCUUUUUUCUGCUUCAUUUGGUUACAAAUGUUCUCAAUGUCAUGAUAUAACAGGCCAAUGCAGCAUCAGGUAUGGCUGUGCAUGAUGAUUGCAAGUUAAAGUUCUUAGAACUGAAGGCAAAAAGAACUUACCGCUUCAUAGUUUUCAAGAUCGAGGAGAAGCAAAAGCAAGUUGUUGUUGAAAAGGUUGGUGAGCCAGCUCAAAGCUACGAAGAUUUCACUGCAAGUCUUCCUGCUGAUGAGUGUCGAUAUGCUGUCUAUGAUUUUGAUUUUGUGACCGAAGAGAAUUGCCAGAAAAGCAGGAUUUUCUUCAUUGCAUGGUAACGUUAAUUUUCCAGCCAUAUGUAUAAUCAUCUGUGCCCUAUUGAUCAACUGCUUUUAGUGUAGUUAUGCCUAUGCACUUUUAUGAAAAUCUCUUGAUUAUUUAUGUAGUUAUACCUCAUUUGUUUUUUUUAUAAGGUGCCCUGAUUCAUCAAGGGUCAGAAGCAAGAUGAUUUAUGCAAGCUCCAAAGACAGAUUUAAGAGAGAGCUUGAUGGGAUUCAGGUGGAGUUGCAAGCAACCGAUCCAACUGAGAUGGGCCUUGAUGUUAUUAGAAGCCGUGCCUGCUGAAUAUGAACUGUAGUCAUUGCGAUGAAGCAUCUCUCCAGGCAGUCUUCUUUUGAGUGAGAAAUGUUUAUAGUUUGUGGGAUGGUGAACUUGGAUAGACAUGAUAUUGGUUUCCAAGUUCUACAGAAUAGUCUCUUUUAUUCAUCUUGAACAACAUCUGUGUUUUUCGGUAUAUCAUGUGAUUUCUUAUUUGUAGAACCUAUGCAUCGAGUGUCUCCUUGUAGUCUGAUGUCUACAAGCUAAUAUGUAACAGUUUGUGGGGGGUUAGACGACACCUUUAGUUUGUUUUCAAAUUUUAAAUUCAUAUUUGACCCUCUUUUAUCUUUCUUGAGUGCUAAAAAAUGGCAUGCUGUUAUGCCUUGCCAGUGGCUGGUUUGUUGCUGUGUUUGAUGAUCAGAUAAAUAUAUUGAGAGGACUAAUAUCCGUUCUUCCAUUUCUUCCUGUUCUUUGUUAAGUGUUAAUUUUCUCUUCCGAGUGUGGCGAAGGAUGAUUUGUUAAAAACUCUUCUUGUGUGCAUUGUUUGGGUGAGAAUGAUGAGCAAAAGGACAGCAACAACCGUACUGAACUUGGGUGCUUUAUUUUAGGGAUAAAACGUGAACUGAUGAAUGAAUUCUUGUGUUCUAAUAAGAGCUUGCUCUGUGGACUUGAUUCACCCAAAUUUGUUGCAGGUGCAUAUUUUGAAGAGACAACCAUCCCCAACAAUCUUUAAAGCCAGGAACGGUUACAUAACUCUUUGUUCUUGGCUGUCUCUUAGGCAGUCGGUCCUACUUGUUUGUGUUGCAAUUAUUCUGUGUUUCAUAAAACUCAUGGAGUGAAACCAAGUAGCUGAAAGUGGAGCCCUGUUGCGUCAUUUAGUUUUAAUUGACUUUAUGUUGAGGUUUAAGGAGUGAUUUUCCCUUUUUGAUGGGUGAGGUUUAAGGAUUGAUCAUCCGCUGUUUCAAUGAGGGUCAAGAAUAUUUGACAUGAGUUGCUUUGUUGUUUUUGGGGGUUUUGUCACUAGUUGGGCUCUCUUGUUGUCCUUGAUGUUCAUGGUGUAAAUCUUCACCAUGUGAACGAGAUUCAUUGUUUGAAUUUUCUCAAAGUUAUGCAAAUUUUGCAUUCAUUGUUUGGUGUUAAGAGAGGAAGAGGAAUUUUGCUUUUGGAGUAGAGCCAAGUUUGCCGAUAAGACAAUUUACUAUAAUUGUAUAUAUAGGACUAAUCAAUUAUUCAACGUUUGCAUAGAUUUUAUUUAUUUAUUAAAGAAUAAAAAUUAAAUUUGAUUAGCUGUGAUUUAUAAUUUGUUUUUAAGCACAAAUUCUUAAAAGCUUAAAAAUUUUAUUUCAUUCGUUUGUAAAUUAUUUCUUAUAAUUUUUAUUAGAUAAUUAAAAAGGAAUUUACAUAUUAUUAGAUCUAUCAUCUUACCGUCCACGCGCCUUUCACGUGUACCAAACCUAGUUUUGUUUAAAUUUGGUUAUAACUUCCAAAUUUAUUCAUUUGACACAUUUUAGGCAGAGGAUUAAAAACCGGUGCGUUUUGAUGGGAAGGACAAAACAGCGCAGAAUCCAGAAUCCUGCUUAAAACGGCGUCGUUGUGUUUUCCAGCGCCCUGUAAAAAUAUCCCAAUCCAUCCCUCACUUCCUCCUCCUCGAAUUAGUCAGUUCCCACUUCCUGGUUGAGUAGCUCAUGAAAUUUUGUUGCAUAUCACAUGUUUGAUAAAUUACCUCAAUGGCUUUCUCCUCUUGUCUGAAAUGGUACCCUUGGACUCCCCCACACACUCUAACCCAGCCACCGCCAACUCUAUCCUCCGCCCACAACUGCAAGCCCUUUUCCAAGCUUAUCUCUUUCACAUCCACACACCACCAUGACCAACAAGCUGUCUCACCUUCUUUCUCUACUCUCUCCCCUUCUCCAACUACACAGCUCCCCCAAAAUUUCACCCCUAAACAACUUCGCGAUGCUCUCCGCCGCCAAUCUGACGAAGAUUCCAUCCUUGACCUGUUAGAUUGGGCAUCCAAGCAGCCCAAUUUUGUGCCCAGUUCAGUGAUAUACGAGGAGGUUCUUCGUAAGCUUGGAAAAGACGGGAGUUUUGGCUCGAUGAGGCGGGUCUUACAGGAGAUGAAGCACACGGGUUGCGAGAUUCGUAGAGGUACUUUCUUGAUUUUGAUUGAAAGUUACGCCAAGUUUGAGUUGUUUGAUGAAGCUGUUGCUGUUGUUGAUAUUAUGGAAGAAGAAUUUGGAUUGAAACUGGAUGCAUUUACUUAUAAUUUCUUGUUGAAUGUACUUGUUGAUGGAAACAAGCUAAAAUUAGUUGAAAUUGUCAAUUCGAGAAUGGUGAGUAGAGGGAUUAAACCAGAUGUGACGACCUUUAAUAUUUUGAUAAAGGCCCUUUGUAGGGCACAUCAAAUUAGACCAGCAAUUUUGAUGAUGGAGGAGAUGGGUAGUUAUGGUUUGUCACCAGAUGAGAAAACCUUCACGACCUUAAUGCAAGGGUUUAUUGAGGAGGGUAACAUGAAUGGUGCAUUGAGAAUUAGAGAACAAAUGGUGGCGGCAGGAUGCCCGUCUAGCAAUGUGACAGUUAAUGUUUUGGUUCAUGGGUAUUGCAAAGAAGGGAGAAUUGAGGAAGUGUUGUCAUUCAUAGAUGAAAUGUCGAACGAGGGAUUCCGUCCUGAUCGAUUUACAUUCAAUUCUUUGGUGAAUGGUUUGUGCAGGAUUGGACAUGUUAAGCAUGCACUUGAAAUUUUGGAUGUAAUGCUUCAGGAGGGAUUUGAUCCCGAUAUAUUUACAUAUAAUAGUUUGAUCUUUGGACUGUGUAAAUUAGGUGAAGUUGAAGAGGCCGUGGAAAUUCUUAAUCAGAUGAUUUUACGGGAUUUUUCACCUAAUACAGUCACUUAUAACACUCUGAUUAGCACCUUGUGUAAGGAGAAUCAAGUUGAAGAAGCCACUGAACUUGCUCGUGUUCUUACAAGCAAGGGAAUUUUACCUGAUGUCUGUACUUUCAAUUCUUUGAUACAAGGUCUAUGCUUGACUAAUAACCAUAGAUUGGCAAUGGAACUGUUUGAGGAGAUGAAGACCAAAGGUUGCCAUCCUGAUGAAUUUACUUACAAUAUGUUGAUUGACAGCCUUUGUUCUAGAGGGAGACUAGAGGAAGCUUUGAGCCUACUGAAAGAAAUGGAAUCUAGUGGUUGUUCACGAAAUGUGGUGACUUAUAAUACUUUGAUUGAUGGGUUCUGCAAAAACAAGAGAAUUGAAGAAGCAGAAGAGAUUUUUGAUGAGAUGGAACUCCAAGGUAUUUCAAGAAAUGUGGUGACUUAUAAUACCCUCAUUGAUGGUCUUUGUAAGAACAGGAGAGUGGAGGAGGCUGCUCAGCUCAUGGACCAGAUGCUAAUGGAAGGAUUAAAACCUGACAAGUUCACCUACAAUUCUCUGCUCACAUACUUCUGCAGGGCAGGAGAUAUAAAAAAGGCAGCAGAUAUUGUCCAAACCAUGACUUCAAAUGGUUGUGAACCGGACUCAGUCACCUAUGGUACACUAAUUUUGGGGCUGAGUAAGGCAGGCAGAGUGGAGCUUGCCAGUAGGCUUCUCAGAACUGUCCAGUUAAAAGGAAUGGUUCUAGCGCCGCAGACUUAUAAUCCUGUAAUUAAAGCAUUAUUUAGAGAAAAGAGGACAAGUGAAGCUGUGCGCCUUUUUAGGGAAAUGAUGGAGAAGGGUGAUCCUCCUGAUGCUGUCACAUAUAAAGUUGUCUUCCGUGGGCUUUGUUCUGGAGGAGGACCGAUUGGAGAAGCUGUUGAUUUUCUAGUUGAGAUGACUGACAAAGGAUUCCUUCCAGAUUUCUCUUCCUUCUUAAUGCUUGCUGAAGGGCUUUGUGCUUUAUCCAUGGAAGACACUCUGAUUAAGCUUGUCAAUAGGGUUAUGAAGCAAGCGAAUUUUUCAGACAGUGAGGUCUCCAUGAUAAUGGGUUUCCUUAAAAUCCGUAAGUUUCAAGAUGCAUUGGCCACCCUGGGCCGUAUCUUGAGCAGCCGAGAGCCCAAAAAGGCUUUCUGGUGAAGAUGAAAUUUAAGGACUGAUACCUGGUGAACUGCUGGAGAAGAUAAAAUCAUACAUGUUCUGCCUGCUUAAAUGAGAUAAAAUUUAAAAACAAGAAGUGUCUGCUUUCCCCUAUGAUCCGGUUGUUGAUGCAGUGUGGAAGGAAUAAAGAUUUUGAGGAAUUAGCAUAUGUUCAACUGUUCUAUGAGGUGGUUCAAUACCUUGUAGCACUGUUGGUUUUUGGCUGGCCUUGCAGGGAAGAUUCAUUUUCCUGAAUUUCAUCCUUUUAUCUGAAAAGAAAACUCAGGUACUUCUCUUGUACUAUGCCAACAUUUGUUUUAUUUCUGUAUGCAUAGAACAAGCAAAAUGGAAUAUGGCCAUAUGUUCUAGUUCUUAUUCUUGAUGCUUACGGAAAAAAUCUUUCCUGGUGUGUAAUUAGCAUAGAUCAUUUGGCAAAACUGGUCAGGCGAGCACCUGGGUCAAGUUUAGAUAAAAUGUUGGUAGUUUUUUGCAUCCUUCAUGUGGUAUAACAUUGCAAGAUCAUUGCUGUUAUAAGAAAAGCAUUUUCUGGCACAUUAUUCUAUGCUCAUCCCAACCAGGUGCUGGACUUUGUAUGUUUAACUGAAGCUGAGGCUUCACUAGUGAUAUAUAAUUAUAUAUCUCGUGUGAAGGAGGGUUAACUUAGGGUUUCCCUUUAAGGACUUUUCAAGAAUGAACUAAUUGGAAACACAACAGCCUCUUUCAUACCUUUGUUAUUCUUAUAUUUAAUUUAUUUAUUUUCAAAUUUCAUUGGUUUCUUUAAUUUAAAUAUUAAAACUUUACGUUAAGAUACUGAUAAAAAUAUGAGAAUUUCAUUUUUUACUUAGGUUUAGAUAGCUUUUCAUUUUUCAAAAAAAUCAAAUUCUUUGAUAUUUUGUAGUUUAAAAAUGUAUUUACACAAACCUAACCUUUUAAUUUAAAAUUAUUAAGAAAUUAAAUAGUUAAUCUUCCGUUUGGAUCAACCAAUGUAUGAGGAUAAGGAGAAAGGAAAGAAGAUAAGAGGGGCAAGAAAAAGGAAAAAAAAAAAGUUUUAAACAAAAUAAUUUUUUUUACCCUUUUUACAUAUUCAUUUAUAUGUAUUUUUCUCUUUAAUUUGAAAACAUUUUUUAUAUUUGAUUUUUCUUUCUAAUUCCAAUUGCAAACCAAACAACAUAUUUUUAAUUAUAAGGGGAAAAAAAAUGAUGAAUCCAAUUUUUUAAGUAGGUUUGAUAAUAUAAAAUUUUAAUUAACUAAAACAUAGCAAUUAAAUUUUUGAUUUCAUAUUUAUCUUUUAGAAAAAUAAAGAUUUUUAUUAUUAAGUAAUCUUAUUAAAAAUAUUUCUUCUUUUAUAAAUAAAACUUGUUAUUAUUAGCUCCUUCUUGUAAAGAAAUUUAAAUUCUAAAAAAAAAUAUGUUUUAGAUGAUGAGUAGGAAUUAUAUUAAAUCAAAUACUAUUUCUAAUUAAUUUAUGUUAAAAUAAACUUUAUUUUAAAAUAAAAUUUUUGUUUUUAGUUAUUUAAUGUAAUAAAAUUAGAAUUCAAAAUUAUAAGAAAUAAUUUUUUAUUAAAAGACUAAAACGUGAAAUAGAAAAUCAUGAUUAUAUUACUUUGAAUGAUUUUGAAUUUUUUUUUUAAAAAAAGUAAUACAGUAUAUUAUGUAAAAUUUUGUUCUCUUUUGUUGUAAUUUUUAUUCUAUAAUUUAUUUUUAUUGAUUUUCUUAUUAUCUAUUAAUUAAAAGCACCGUAUUUAAUUAUGAAAAUUUGGAGCAAAAUAAAAAUAAAAAAUAUAACGAAAAUGACGAAUAAAAAAUAUUUAUUUUUUACUUUUAAAAAAUAAAUAAAAUAAGCUGCCAAAAAUAAUAAGAUAUGAUAUUUGAUUUUAAAAAUUAUUUGAUUUUAUUCUAUUAAUAUCCUAAAAUAUCAUUCUUUAUUAUUUGAUAUAAUAUAUUAGUUAAUAUAAUAUUUAUGAAUUAUGAUAUUCAUGUUGAUUGUGAGGUACGUGGGUGGUUGUGACUUUGAUCCAAUUGCCUAUGGGGUAGCAUGCUUACAAAUUAAGUUUUUUGAAUUUAUUUUUGUGCUUAUUUAUUAAUUGGACUUCUUAGUUUUCAAGUCAAGGGUAUAAAAUCUUUUCUACUAAUAAGAUAGAGUUCUACUAGAAAACAACCUAUAUUUUCCUACUCCAUCUCUAACUCUGACUUUCCUUUUACAACUACACAAUCAAAAAAGUCAAACCAAUAUAAAUAUAUACAACUCAAGACUCAAGUUCAUUAUUGUUUUUUCAUUCCUUAGUGUCUUAAUUUUUUUAAUUUUUUAUUUUUGCGUAGUCUUCAUUACUUAGGAAUUGUAUGUAUAAAGCUUUUCUAGGGAAUGAAAGGGUAGUACAUUCACAUAUGAUCGCAGUUCAUGUUUGGAGCAUUAAGACAUCGAAAUACAGGGUUCAAGCGCAAGACAACAAAACAACACUUGUUGAGCAAACACGAUCAAUGUGCAUCAUGAGGAGUUAAUUUUAGAUAAUUAUCAUGAUUCAAAAUCCUUUAUCGAAUACUUACAUCACAAGGAGUCCCUUGUGAAUACUCCCGCUUAAUGAUAUACAAAGUUGCUAGAUUGAUUCGAUCUAUGAUCAUGCCUAAUGUGAGGCCAAUCUUCGUGGUCGUUAGGGAUGUUAUCACCUAUAUGAAUAGACAAAUCAUAGAACCUGUAAUUGAAGAGACUGAUAAUGAGAUACUUGCCACCGCUAUUAGAACAUUAAUGGAAGAUGAAGUCGUUAAGAUUGUGUCUGCAACUAAAUCAUCAAUUGAUAUGUUGGAGAAGGUGAAGAUUAAACUCAAUGAUCGUUGUUUGAUAUAUUUGGAAGAGUUUAUAGGUGAGGUGGACGAAGUUGCACGGAUGUCAUGCUGACAUGUUUACCACACUCAUUGCAUAGUGGAGUAGUUAAAGUAUAAUUACUUGUAUCCAUUAUGCCAAUUUGAAAUGCCAAAGUCGAUUGAUUGAUUCAUAGAUAGUUUUCUUUUUCUUUUUGUUUCUAAACUACUUAUUUUUAAUCAUUGUAACAACUUUUUUAUAAUUGUAAUUGUUUGAUAUGAAUGAGUAUACUAAAAGAAGGGUGAGAAUGCCUUAUUAGUGAAUUUGGAUGAUUGUAAUAAAAGAAAUUGAGUAUAUAUUAAGAUAAGAUAACAAAUCCAAUUUAUUGCUCGAUUAUAUCUACAAAUUUUUGUCAUUUAAGUAAUGUUAAGCAUGAUUAUUAAAAUAACUCCUCUACAAUCUUUAAAUCAAAAUUUUUAUUAGUAGCCCCUUCAUGUAAACAAAUUAAAAUUUUGAAAAAAAGGAAAAAAAAAAAAACCAUUUUAGUCCAUGUCUAGGAUUAAAUGAAAUCAAACACUAAUUUUUAAUUAUUUUAUGUUACAAAUAUUUUUUUGGUUAUUUAAUAUAAUAAAAUUAGAAUUCAAAAUAAACUUUAUUUAAUUUAUUUAUAAGAACUAAUCUUUCAUUAAAAAGUAAAUUAAAAAACUAAAAAUUAGAAUUAUAUUUCUUUAAGAUCAUGUUUAUAACAUGUAAUAGGAUAAGAGAGAGGAUAUUAUAUCAUAGUUCAUAUUUGAUUGAUGAUGUGAUAAGUUAUCUCAUUACUUAUCCUAUCUUAUAUUCAAUCAAACAUGAGAUAUGAUAAGUGAUGAAAUAUAUUAUCCACUUUUCUUUAAUUCCUCUUACAUGGGAUAUAUUAAUCUUAUGGUAAUAUAUGAGAUAUACAUAUUUUAUAUAUCAAAAAUUUAUUUCUUAUGAAUUUUUUAUUUUUUUAUAUAUACAAUUUACAAAAUAAUUUUUUUAUUAUAAAUUAAAUUUAUGAUUAAAAAAAACUUAAAAAAAUUUAUAAAACAUUUUUUAUUUAUAAAGUUUAAAUAUUUUAAUCAUGAAUAUUAUUAAACAUAACAAAAUUUUCAUCUUUUAAAUAAAAAAUAUUUGAAUGUGAUAUAAUCUUUAUUUUAAACUAUGAAAAUAAUAUAUGUUUUUUAUUUCAUAAAUUAAAUAUAAAUAUAAUACAACAUAGUAUAUUAUAUUGAAUAUACUACCUUAAAAUUUUAUGUAUAUCUAAAGAUAUCAUAUCCCAUUAGAAAACAUAUUCUAUUUAAUGAGAUAUGAUAUAUUUGGAUAUACAUAUCUUAUCAUAUCAUAUCCUAGUGCUAAUUUUUACUCUAUAAUUUAUUUUUAUUGAUCUUUUUUAUUAUAUAUUGCCUAAUUAAUUAUAAAAAUUUAAAAAUAAAAAAAAAAGAAGAAAAAAUAUGAGGAAAAUUGUGAAUAAAACUUCAUUUAUUUUUUUUACUUUUUGGGAGUCACACAUUUUUUUUUCUUAUUUUAUUUUUCUUUUAAAAAAAAAUCAAAUAAGUAACUACUUCAGAAACAAUAAAAAAAU